GGUUCUCUCCGAAAUAGCUUUAGGGCUAGCCUCAAGUGAUGAUUAUUGGAGGUAGAGCACUGUUUGGACGAGGGGCCCCUCUCGGGUUACCGAAUUCAGACAAACUCCGAAUGCCAAUUAAUUUAACUUGGGAGUCAGAACAUGGGUGAUAAGGUCCGUGUUCGAAAGGGAAACAGCCCAGACCACCAGCUAAGGUCCCAAAAUAUAUGUUAAGUGGAAAAGGAUGUGGCGUUGCCCAGACAACUAGGAUGUUGGCUUAGAAGCAGCCAUCAUUUAAAGAGUGCGUAAUAGCUCACUAGUCGAGUGACACUGCGCCGAAAAUGUACCGGGGCUAAACAUAUUACCGAAGCUGUGGAUUGUCCUUUGGACAAUGGUAGGAGAGCGUUCUAAGGGCGUUGAAGCAUGAUCGUAAGGACAUGUGGAGCGCUUAGAAGUGAGAAUGCCGGUGUGAGUAGCGAAAGACGGGUGAGAAUCCCGUCCACCGAUUGACUAAGGUUUCCAGAGGAAGGCUCGUCCGCUCUGGGUUAGUCGGGUCCUAAGCUGAGGCCGACAGGCGUAGGCGAUGGAUAACAGGUUGAUAUUCCUGUACCACCUAUAAUCGUUUUAAUCGAUGGGGGGACGCAGUAGGAUAGGCGAAGCGUGCGAUUGGAUUGCACGUCUAAGCAGUAAGGCUGAGUAUUAGGCAAAUCCGGUACUCGUUAAGGCUGAGC
rnacentral:rRNA from 1 species